rnacentral:rRNA from 1 species
CCCUUAGAUGUUCGGGGCCGCACGCGCGCUACACUGAAGGAAUCAGCACGUCUUUCUCCUUGUCCGAAAGGACUGGGUAACCCGCUGAACCUCCUUCGUGCUAGGGAUUGGGGCUUGUAAUUCUUCCCCAUGAACGAGGAAUUCCCAGUAAGCGCGAGUCAUAAGCUCGCGUUGAUUGCGUCCCUGCCCUUUGUACACACCGCCCGUCGCUACUACCGAUUGGAUGGUUUAGUGAGAUCCUCGGAUUGGUCCCGGAGCGGCCUCUGGUCGUGCCGGAGUGCCGAAAAGAAUGUCGAACUUGAUCAUCUAGAGGAAGUAAAAGUCGUAACA